rfam:Camelus ferus unplaced genomic scaffold scaffold364, whole genome shotgun sequence.
GGUAUAGCUCAAUGGUAGAGCACGUGCUUAGCAUGCACAAAGUCCUGGGUUCAAUCCCCAGAACCA